rnacentral:rRNA from 1 species
UACGGAGGGUGCGAGCGUUGUCCGGAAUCAUUGGGCGUAAAGGGCGCGUAGGUGGCCCGGUCAGUUCGUGGUGAAAGCGCGGGGCUCAACCCUGCGUCGGCCAUGAAUACUGCCGCGGCUGGAGCACUGUAGAGGCAGGCGGAAUUCCGGGUGUAGCGGUGGAAUGCGUAGAGGAUCCGGAAGAACACCGGUGGCGAAGGCGGCCUGCUGGGCAGUUGCUGGACACUGAGGCGCGACAGCGUGGGGAGCAAACAGG